UGGGGAAUAUUGGACAAUGGGCGCAAGCCUGAUCCAGCCAUGCCGCGUGAGUAAUGAAGGCCCUAGGGUUGUAAAGCUCUUUCACCGGUGAAGAUAAUGACGGUAACCGGAGAAGAAGCCCCGGCUAACUUCGUGCCAGCAGCCGCGGUAAUACGAAGGGGGCUAGCGUUGUUCGGAUUUACUGGGCGUAAAGCGCACGUAGGCGGACUUUUAAGUCAGGGGUGAAAUCCCGGGGCUCAACCCCGGAACUGCCUUUGAUACUGGAAGUCUUGAGUAUGGUAGAGGUGAGUGGAAUUCCGAGUGUAGAGGUGAAAUUCGUAGAUAUUCGGAGGAACACCAGUGGCGAAGGCGGCUCACUGGACCAUUACUGACGCUGAGGUGCGAAAGCGUGGGGAGCAAACAGG
rnacentral:rRNA from 1 species